rnacentral:rRNA from 1 species
UUCGCAAUGCCCGAAAGGGUGACGAAGCGACGCCGCGUGUGGGAAGAAGGCCUUCGGGUUGUAAACCACUGUCGGGAGUUAAGAAAUGCAAGGAUAUUAAUAGUGUCUUUGUUUGACUAAGGCUCCGGAGGAAGCCACGGCUAACUCUGUGCCAGCAGCCGCGGUAAUACCGAGGCGGCAAGCGUUGUUCGGAAUUAUUGGGCGUAAAGAGCACGUAGGCGGCUAUGUAAGUCGGUUGUGAAAGCCUUCCGCUCAACGGAAGAACAGCAUCCGAUACUACAUGGCUUGAGUGCGGGAGGGGAGAGUGGAACUUCUGGUGGAGCGGUGAAAUGCGUAGAUAUCAGAAGGAACGCCGGCGGCGAAAGCGGCUCUCUGGCCCAUAACUGACGCUGAGUGUGCGAAAGCUAGGGGAGCAAACGGGAUUAGAUACCCCGGUAGUCCUAGCCGUAAACGAUGGGCACUAAGUAGAGGGGUUUU